CCUACGGGUGGCAGCAGUGAGGAAUAUUGGUCAAUGGACGAGAGUCUGAACCAGCCAAGUAGCGUGAAGGAUGACUGCCCUAUGGGUUGUAAACUUCUUUUAUAUGGGAAUAAAACAGGGUAUGCAUACCCUCUUGUAUGUACCAUAUGAAUAAGGAUCGGCUAACUCCGUGCCAGCAGCCGCGGUAAUACGGAGGAUGCGAGCGUUAUCCGGAUUUAUUGGGUUUAAAGGGUGCGUAGGCGGAAUAUCAAGUCAGCGGUAAAAAUUCGGGGCUCAACCCCGUCGUGCCGUUGAAACUGAUGUUCUUGAGUGGGCGAGAAGUAUGCGGAAUGCGUGGUGUAGCGGUGAAAUGCAUAGAUAUCACGCAGAACUCCGAUUGCGAAGGCAGCAUACCGGCGCCCAACUGACGCUGAAGCACGAAAGCGUGGGUAUCGAACAGGAUUAGAUACCCCAGUAGUC
rnacentral:rRNA from 1 species